rnacentral:rRNA from 1 species
UACGUAGGGGGCAAGCGUUGUCCGGAAUUAUUGGGCGUAAAGGGCGCGUAGGCGGCUUUGCAAGUGGCGGGUGAAAUCCCUCGGCUUAACCGAGGAACUGCCUGCCAGACUGUGAGGCUUGAGACCGGGAGAGGUGAGUGGAAUUCCCAGUGUAGCGGUGAAAUGCGUAGAUAUUGGGAGGAACACCAGUGGCGAAGGCGGCUCACUGGACCGGAACUGACGCUGAGGCGCGAAAGCUAGGGGAGCAAACGGG